GCAGCCGGGCAUUUCGUCGCUCACUGAUGAAUAUGCGGUGUGAGGAAAGUCCGGGCAACAUAGAGCACCAUAUUUCUUAACUGGAAGCUGUGGGUGACCGCAGAGUAGUGUGACAGAAAACAACCGCCUUUGUUCCAAGAACCGAGGUAAGGGUGAAAAGGUGAGGUAAGAGCUCACCGGGUGGCAUAGUGAUAUGUCGCGCCGCAUGCCUUAUGGGUUGCAAGGCCAAGUAUACCGACAUUUAAGGGUUGCUCGCCCAUUGUCGGGGGGUAGGCUGCUAAAGCCUGCGGGUGACUGCAGGCUCAGAUAAAUGACGAAACACUAUGGUGUCCCCGCGAGGGUAGUGCCAUAGUUGACAUAACCCGGCUUAUCGCCCGGCUGCUUUU
rnacentral:RNase_P_RNA from 1 species